rnacentral:rRNA from 1 species
UACGUAGGGUGCGAGCGUUAAUCGGAAUUACUGGGCGUAAAGCGUGCGCAGGCGGUUUUGUAAGCCGGAUGUGAAAUCCCCGGGCUUAACCUGGGAAUGGCAUUCGGGACUGCAAGGCUGGAGUGCGGCAGAGGAGACUGGAAUUCCUGGUGUAGCAGUGAAAUGCGUAGAUAUCAGGAGGAACACCGAUGGCGAAGGCGGCAUCCUGGACCGGCAUUGACGCUGAGGAGCGAAAGCUAGGGGAGCAAACGGG